rnacentral:rRNA from 1 species
AUUGAACGCUGGCGGCAGGCCUAACACAUGCAAGUCGAACGAGUGGCGGACGGGUGAGUAAUGUAUGGGAAACUGCCUGAUGGAGGGGGAUAACUACUGGAAACGGUAGCUAAUACCGCAUACCAUCGGAUGUGCCCCGAUGGGAUUAGCUAGUAGGUGGGGUAAAGGCUCACCUAGGCGACGAUCACUAGCUGGUCUGAGAGGGUGACCAGCCACACUGGAACUGAGACACGGUCCAGACUCCUACGGGAGGCAGCAGUUGGAAAUAUUGGACAAUGGGCGCAAGCCUGAUGCAGCCACGCCGCGUGUAUGAAGAAGGCCUUCGGGUUGUAAAGUACUUUCAUCGGGGAGGCGUUACCCGCAGAAGAAGCACCGGCUAACUCCGUGCCAGCCGCCGCGGUAAUUC